CUCCAACCCAAUGUGAACGUUACCAAACUGUUGCCUCGGCGGGGUCACGCCCGGGUGCGUCGCAGCCCCGGAACCAGGCGCCCGCCGGAGGAACAACCAAACUCUUUCUGUAGUCCCCUCGCGGACGUAUUUCUUACAGCUCUGAGCAAAAAUUCAAAAUGAAUCAAAACUUUCAACAACGGAUCUCUUGGUUCUGGCAUCGAUGAAGAACGCAGCGAAAUGCGAUAAGUAAUGUGAAUUGCAGAAUUCAGUGAAUCAUCGAAUCUUUGAACGCACAUUGCGCCCGCCAGUAUUCUGGCGGGCAUGCCUGUCCGAGCGUCAUUUCAACCCUCGAACCCCUCCGGGGGAUCGGCGUUGGGGAUCGGGACCCCUCACACGGGUGCCGGCCCCGAAAUACAGUGGCGGUCUCGCCGCAGCCUCUCCUGCGCAGUAGUUUGCACAACUCGCACCGGGAGCGCGGCGCGUCCACGUCCGUAAAACACCCAACUUUCUGAAAUGUUGACCUCGGAUCAGGUAGGAAUACCCGCUGAACUUAAGCAU
rnacentral:rRNA from 1 species